rnacentral:rRNA from 1 species
CGACCCCAGAUCAGGCGGGACCACC